UUUUUAUCACCAAAUGUAUUGUUUCUGACCACUGAAGAACUAUGUCACCCCUGUGGCUCCAUCAGGUGGGAAAGUGGAUCCUGGAUGAAAGUCCUGCCCAAGACAAGACUCCAAGCUGAAGACUCCAAUUAUCUAUAAAUCACUUGUAUUUCCUGCAGAGAAAAAGCAGGAAAGAGAGAGACAGGAAAACAGAGACAGAGGAUUCGGCAAAGUGAAAUAUUCGAUACCUGUCCUAAACCAAAUUUCUCUCAAAAGCAACCAGGAGUUAUUUCUGAGAUAUCUCAAAACCAAGCUCAGAGGAAUCUUGCUGCUGUUGUUUUUGGCUUAAUAUUGAAAUAAAAUAACUUUCUUUUA